GUGGGCUACGGGGACAUCUACCCAAAAACGUUACUGGGGAAAAUCGUGGGGGGCCUCUGCUGCAUCGCGGGGGUCCUGGUGAUCGCCCUUCCCAUCCCAAUCAUUGUGAACAAU
rfam:Pteropus alecto contig107108, whole genome shotgun sequence.